GACGAACGCUGGCGGCGUGCUUAACACAUGCAAGUCGAACGGAAAGGCCCUGCUUUUGUGGGGUGCUCGAGUGGCGAACGGGUGAGUAACACGCGAGUAACCCGUCCUUGAAUUUGGGAUAACAUCUGGAAAAUGGGGCUAAUAUCGGAUAGGAUAUAUUGAAGCACGGUGGGGGUUGGAGAGUUGCGGCGGUUUGGGCUGGACUGGCGGGUUAUGAGCCUGUUGGUGGGGUAGUGGCUUACAAAGGUUUUGAGUGGUAGGCCGCCUGGGAGGGUGACCGGCCACAUGGGGACUGAGGUACGGCCCAGACUCCUACCGGAGGCAACAGUGGGGAGUAUGGCGCAAUGGGCGGGAGCCUGAUGCGGCAACGCCCCGUGCGUGAUGACCGCCUUCUGGUGAUAAACCGCUGUCUCCUUAGACAAAGCGUGAGUGACGGUAAUGAGUAAAAAAGCACCGGCUAACUACGUG
rnacentral:rRNA from 1 species